UAAAUUAGUGUUUCCUUGUUAGAAGAUACAAAGCCGAAGAUUCACACG
rnacentral:sRNA from 1 species